rnacentral:tRNA from 1 species
CCUCCCGUAGCUCAGCGGCCAGAGCGCUUGUCUUAUAAACAAGUGGUCGCGGGUUCGAAUCCCGCCGGGAGGAC